rnacentral:piRNA from 1 species
UCUAGCGGAACAGUAAAAAAU